GCUGAAGUGGUGGAAUUGGCAGACACGCAUGAUUCAGGUUCAUGUGCUUCACGGCAUGGGGGUUCAAGUCCCCCCUCCAGCACCA
rnacentral:tRNA from 1 species